GUUAACGUAGCAAAACCCGGUUUUGCAGAGGGCCUAAGCCCUUCGGAUAGAAGUUCAAAUCUUCUCGCUAACU
rnacentral:tRNA from 1 species